UGUGUGGUGGUAAACGGAGGCGUUCUCGAAGUCUGGGUCUGGAGAUUCAGGUUGGCGGCGGGGCGGCCGGGGCGUGUGCGAUCCGAGAGGACGCCCCGCCUCGGUCGGCUCUGUCGGCGGCUGCACUUCUCCGGGACUUGACGUGACGAACCGCUGCCUGUGGAACGUGGACCCGGGUGAAGUUUGUCGCUCUAGCGGUGGCAAGCCCCGGGCUCCUGUCUCUGCGGGCGGCGGGUAUCUGAGUCGGCUUGUAUAGCAAGCGGGUUUGCUCCCGCGGCCGGCAUCUCAGUCGCGAGUAGGUCGGCG
rnacentral:rRNA from 1 species